GAGCGGCCAUUUUGUGUUAUUAGAGUGAGGGGCGAAUUGUUAUUCAAUUCUUUGCCUCUGUUCUAUACUGUUUCACAUGCCUUUUUUCAGUUAGGGACGUUACAGUUUAGCCCAGUUGAGGUAAAAAGCAACACACUGAUAAUUUACUCUUUUCUCUCUGUGUUGUGCUGGGUCUGCUCACAAUAAGCUUCAAACUGGCCUCAAGAGAAGUUUACAAAAUGUUUUUAAAAAGAAAGGGAAAGUAAAUUAAUCCAGGGCCUGACAGACAGAGCCAAACAGCUACAAAUGAGAGUGUGAGAUGCGCCUAUUUUUCCAUUGUAUUGCUUACAUGAAAAAAGGAAAAUCAGCUGACUUUUGGGUUUGGUCUGGCAGCAAAUUUUCAGCAGCCUUAUCUAAAGCGAGAGUCCUUGUGCCGUGAGAAGCAUCCUACCUGUGCAAACAAUGCUACAUCAUGGUAAUCUCUGUUGUU